rnacentral:lncRNA from 1 species
AAUGGAGCCCCAGUUUUUAAACACGGGAGUCAUUUUCCUUGUCCUCUUGAGCAUCUUGCCCAUGUUAAGUACUCAGUAAAUAGUGUUAGAUGAUUGUGCAGCAUGAUGAGUUUUGUAUCUGCAAUCUGAAUUUUGAAUCUUAGUUCUGCCAUAUUUUAUAUCUUGGAAAAUAUACUUCAUUUUUUUAAUUUGCAAGAUGGAAGCAAAAUGUGUGCAUUCCUCAGCCAUUUAGUGCCUGCUGUAUGCCAAGCAUUAUUCUAGGUGUUAGGAAUUCAGUAGCUUACAAAACGGAUGUCCCUGUCCUAAUGAACCUUAUAUUCCAGUCAGUUUUCAGGAAGAGCCCCACAGUGUUGCUGGAAGAAGAGGAAAGGAGCCCUUCUACUUGGUCAGAGGCGAAGCUAUACCCCUGGGGUUGCAGCAGAAUGGAGGCUGCCUGGUAGCCUGUGUGGGGCAUGGUGACUCCUUGAGUGGAACUUCUGUCUGAGAAAGAGAAAAAAAAGCUCCCUGGGUUGGACUGAGGGGACACUCUCCUUCAAGGCAUGUUGCUGUCCUGACCCUGAGGCUGUACCCUCUGUCUGUAUGCCCUGUGGACUAGGAGGAGCAGUACCAGGGGAGAUGCUCCAGUGUGAGGGCCACAGCCCCAGCACCCCGAUGCCCACUGUGACAUGACCUAGUGCCAACACCCAGAUUCGUGUCCAGUUGUGAUGUGGUGAGGGCAGCCUAGCUGGCAGGAGUAUAUGAAAUCUCUUAGUUAUGCAGGGAAAGAAGAAAAGGGGCCUUGUGAGAUACCCAGAUAUUCCCCUCACCGCUGUGCCAGAGACAGGCUAGGGUUGCUAAGCCCUUAAAUAUCUGGGGGGGUAAGUUCUGCCUCUGAGUGGCCUGGGGAAAUGUAGAAGUUAAGUGGAUUUGCUGUGAAUUUGCAGUUCGUGACACUUCACACUGUGACAUUUGGCUAUUGCUCAUAUGUACGUCCCCUUCUGCUCAUUCCUUUCUUAGAAUGAGAGAGGGAAGCUUUGGGUGGUAUUUCACCUCCCACCUCAAGCAUCUCUUCCAUCUGGGAAGGCCCUGCUUCUAGGAUGUUCUCUUUAGGAGGUAGAGAGAAGGUGCUCUGGCUGUAGCCAUCCUGGAUUUGGCUUUAUCCUGAGUGACCACCUCUUGCUGUCCUAUAGGACCUAAAAGCCUCUCCCCAGAGAUGUCCAGUACCUGUGGAAGUUGGUCUCUCACUUAGGGUGAUUUUUAUUUUUUAAAUUGACACAUAAUACUUGUUCCACCUCUCUGGCGUACAGGAUGAUAAUUUGAUCGACAUAUACAGUGCAUAAUGAUCAAAUCAGGGUAAUUCACAUUUGUGUCUGCUCAAACAUCAUUUCUGUGUGUGCGGAACCUUUGAACUCUUUAGUUAUUUUGAAACAUAUUAAAAAUUGUUGUAGACUGUAAUUAUUCUACUUACUCUAAAACGUUAGAAGUUAUUCUUUCCAUCCAACUGUACCCCGUACUCAUUGUUCAUCUUCUCUCCAUUCCUCUCCCUUCCUCGACACCUCCCUCUAGGCACUGGUAAACGAUUCUAUUCUCUACAUCUGUCAGCAUUUUUUUUUUAAGCUUCUACAUGUAAGUGAGAACAUGUGGUACUUGUUUUUUUGUUUCUGGCUCAUUUCACCUAAAACAAAUGAUCUCUGGUUCCGUCCACAUUGACGGGAUUUCAAUAUUUUUUAAGACCGAAUAGUAUUCCUUUGUGUAUACAUACUACGUUUUCUUAUCCACUCAUCCAUCAGUGGACAUCUUGAUUGAAUCCCAAUCUUGGCUUCUGUGAAUAGUACUGAUAUAAACGUAAACUUGUAGGCAUCUCUGCACUUAGGGUAAUUUUGAGUAAGUUGUACUUGACCUUUGCUAUGCCUCAGCUUCCUCAUCUAUAAAAUAGAACUGAUAAUACUUGUACUUAUUGAAAGAAUUAAAAAUGAGCAUGUUAAGGAAUUAAAAUAAUGCCUUGCUGGUACUGAGUGCUCUGUGUCUCAUUUCUAUGGCCCACCACAUUUGCAUAGCAGUGGUGGACUUGUUUGCACUGUGACCAUGAGCUCUUUGCACACAGGAUAUAUCUUAUAUGUUUCUGCAGUCUCGGUGGUUAGCCCAGUGCCUGGUACCUGGUAGACAUUCACUUAAAGCAUGUUUGGAGAACUGCGACCUCAGAUGUAUGCAGGCUGAGAUGAGGGAGGAGACUCCUGGUAGCAAAGGCGGAGAGGAG